rnacentral:rRNA from 1 species
UACGUAGGGUGCAAGCGUUAAUCGGAAUUACUGGGCGUAAAGCGUGCGCAGGCGGUUGUGCAAGACAGAUGUGAAAUCCCCGGGCUCAAACUGGGAACUGCAUUUGUGACUGCAUGGCUAGAGUACGGUAGAGGGGGAUGGAAUUCCGCGUGUAGCAGUGAAAUGCGUAGAUAUGCGGAGGAACACCGAUGGCGAAGGCAAUCCUCUGGACCUGUACUGACGCUCAUGCACGAAAGCGUGGGGAGCAAACAGG